CGAGCUACAGGGAGGAACAGAAAUAGCGCCGUCACUUGGACUGUUUGCUGCGAUUCGUUCUACCUUUGGUCGGUGAUGGAUGGCGGAUCCCAGCAAGGACCCGUCUCAGCUGAUCCAGAGGAGGGAGGUUCUGUUUCAUGCCACGAAUGCAUUUCAGAAGGCUUCGAGAGUGUUCUGUCUAAAUGCCAGGCUCUGGUGGACCAUGCGGCCUUGGGGGAAAAGAAGGGCAAGCUGGCUUCCUCCUCCUCAUGGAUGAAAACAGAGAUCAGGCAUAAUCAACACAUAAUGAGAGGUCCAGAUCUUAAACGAACAGCUUGGUGAGUUUUGACAAAUGCAUGUACGAAAAACGCCGAACCACCGAGACGCAAAGAACACGUCCCCCACCCAGAGUGCCCCGGGCCCUUCCCGCCCAGGUCUCUGCUCUCCACCGCCCAGAGGCGGCCUCGCACCAGUGAUUGAUUGCACAUUCUCAGAAAGUCACAUAAAUGGAAUCAUGUUCUGUUUGAAGAGGAGUGUGGAUGAUGGGCAGGAACUGGCAGUGCCUGGUGGGAGUGAAACAAUAGUGGAGGUGCCUUGGGAAGCCGUCUGGCAGGUCCUCAAAAAGUUACACGUUGGGCUGCCACAUGCCUCCGCAAUUCCACUCCGAGGUGCACAUACUCAAGGAAAAUGGAAAUACACACAAAAUCUUGUGCGUAAACUUGCAGAGCGGCCUCAUUCAUAACGACCAACAUAUGGAUGCAGCCCAAUGCCCAUCAGCUGAUGAAUGAACCAGUACAAUGUGGUGUUCUAUCCAUGCAAUGGAACAUUUUCAGGUGUAGAAAGGAAUGCUACAUAGAAACUACAGACAUUGGGGGGAGGGAGAAGAGGGGAAGUUGGGACAACUGCAGGAACACAGACAUAACUGAGACAUCAUGGAUGAACCUUGAAAACACCGUGUUAAGUGAAAGAAGCUAGUCACGAAAAACCACAGACUGUGUGAUUCCUUUUACAUGGAAUGUCUAGAAUAGGCAAACCCACCGUGGCAGAAAGUAGAUUACUGGAUGCUCAGGAUCGGAGGGUACGAUGGGGCUGGGGAGGCAGCAGCUAAAGGGUCCAGAUUUUUCUUUUUUGAGGUGGUGACAACGUUGUAAGAUUGGUAAAUUGUACCGUAUUCGAAUUAAAUCUCAACAAAACUA